CCUACGGGUGGCAGCAGUGAGGAAUAUUGGUCAAUGGCCGGGAGGCUGAACCAGCCAAGUCGCGUGAGGGAAGAAGGCCCUACGGGUGGUAAACCUCUUUUGUCAGGGAGCAAGGUGAAGGUCGGUGACUGCUGAGAGAGUGCCUGAAAAAAAAGCAUCGGCGAACUCCGUGGCAGAGGCCACGGUAAUACGGAGGAUGCGAGCGUUAUCCGGAUUUAUUGGGUUUAAAGGGGGCGCAGGCGGAGGCACAAGGCAGCGGUAAAAGCGCGGGGCUCAACCCCGGUCGGCCGUUGAAACUGUGUCCCUUGAGUGCGCGAAGGGCAGGCGGAAUGCGUGGUGUAGCGGUGAAAUGCAUAGAUAUCACGCAGAACUCCGAUCGCGAAGGCAGCCUACCGGCGCGCAACUGACGCUCAUGCACGAAAGCGUGGGUAUCGAACAGGAUUAGAUACCCGUGUAGUC
rnacentral:rRNA from 1 species